CACGUAGGGCGCAAGCGUUGUCCGGAAUUAUUGGGCGUAAAGAGCUCGUAGGCGGUCUGUCGCGUCUGCUGUGAAACUCAGGGCUUAACCCUGAGCUUGCAGUGGGUACGGGCAGACUAGAGUGCGGUAGGGGAGACUGGAAUUCCUGGUGUAGCGGUGAAAGUGCGCAGAUAUCAGGAGGAACACCGGUGGCGAAGGCGGGUCUCUGGGCCGUAACU
rnacentral:rRNA from 1 species